rnacentral:tRNA from 1 species
GCUUGAAUAGUUUAUGAAAACGUUAAUUUGUGGUAUUAGAGAUGCACUUAGUGCUUUAGGCU